rnacentral:rRNA from 1 species
UUGGAGGGCAAGUCUGGUGCCAGCAGCCGCGGUAAUUCCAGCUCCAAUAGCGUAUAUUAAAGUUGUUACAGUUAAAAAGCUCGUAGUUGAAUUUCGGGAUCAGAUUGUCGGUCGUGCCUCGGUACGCACUGGUAUUAUUGGUUCCUACCUUCUGAAGAACCGCGAUGUCAUUAAUUUGGUGUCGUGGGGAAUCAGGACUGUUACUUUGAAAAAAUUAGAGUGUUUAAAGCAGGCUUACGCUUGAAUACAUUAGCAUGGAAUAAUGAAAUAGGACGUUUGAUUCUAUUUUGUUGGUUUCUAGGAUUGACGUAAUGAUUAAUAGGGAUAGUUGGGGGCAUUAGUAUUCAAUUGUCAGAGGUGAAAUUCUUGGAUUUAUUGAAGACUAACUACUGCGAAAGCAUUUGCCAAGGAUGUUUUCAUUAAUCAAGAACGAAAGUUAGGGGAUCGAAGACGAUCAGAUACCGUCGUAGUCUUAACCAUAAACUAUGCCGACUAGGGAUCGGAUGAUGUUAAUUUUUUAAUGACUCAUUCGGCGCCUUACGGGAAAC